GUCUAUGGCCAUACCACCCUGAACGCACCCGAUCUGGUCUGAUCUCAGAAGUUAAGUAGGGCCAGGCCUGGUUACUACUUGGAUGGGAGACCGCCUGAGAAUACCAGGUGCUGUAGGCU
rnacentral:rRNA from 1 species